UCUUACUAGUCCACUACACCUAAAAGAGAAAGAUCCUGUCUGAGCUCGGAAGCUAAGCAGGGUCGCGACUGGUUAGUAGUUGGAUGGGAGACCACCUAGGAAGACCGGGUGCUGUAGGCA
rnacentral:rRNA from 1 species